rnacentral:rRNA from 1 species
UACGGGGGGGGCAAGCGUUGUUCGGAAUUACUGGGCGUAAAGGGCGCGUAGGCGGCCUUCUAAGUCGAACGUGAAAUCCCCGGGCUCAACCCGGGAACUGCGUCCGAUACUGGAAGGCUUGAAUCCGGGAGAGGGAUGCGGAAUUCCAGGUGUAGCGGUGAAAUGCGUAGAUAUCUGGAGGAACACCGGUGGCGAAGGCGGCAUCCUGGACCGGCAUUGACGCUGAGGCGCGAAAGCCAGGGGAGCAAAGGGG